rfam:Zootermopsis nevadensis contig575, whole genome shotgun sequence.
GCCACGGUGGUUAGCGGUCAGAACGCUGGCCUUGUAAUCCUGGGGUCUCGGGUUCGAUUCCCGGCGGUGCCC